CCUGGCACCGGAGUAUUUUGAGGAGCUCACAGGCUGGCAUUUUCUACAGGGCUGCACUUUACUCGUUCAUUCAUUCAUUUUCCCCAAUGACCAUUAGAUGAGAGAGAGAGCCACGGCAGCAGCAGGUGGACAUUAGGACCACUGUGGCCAGAACAGGCUGUUUAGGCCAACAGGCUCGUCCAUAGAGGUCAGGCAUAUGCCAGGUGUGGAAGCACAGGAGCCCACCCUAGACCCUGCAUGCGUGCUGCAUCGUCAGCCAGCGCAGAGGUUAUGUCAUCUUCUACCACCUGGAGGAAGAUGAGGGCUGAUCUUCAUCUCCUUCCCACCCCUCUCUCUUAAUCAGCCAAUGAAGCUUCAGGCACUCAGGCGAGGCCCUCCCACCCGUUCCUUGCUUUAUUGCAUGUAAAUAUUCUGUAGAGGGACACGGCUCGGGACAUUCGGUGCUUAGGGUCUGCGAGUCGCUGAAUGUAAUAAAGACCCCUUGGGGUGUCAGCAGUACACCAUUGCACAGGUGGGCCUCCAGGUGGUGCACUCGGUUCGGAGGUCUCCUAUGUAUUAAUGUGUAUAUCAUUUCUAUAUAGGACGUAGAUUCGUUAUAUCAAGAAAAUGUGGCCUGCAUGCCCGCAACAUGAGGGGAAAAGUGAGUGAGGUGCAUUCUGGGUAGAAGUGCGUCAUGUCUGCUCACCCCCAGAUGUUAGACUGUGCAGAGAUGACCAGAGAGAGAGUGAGGCCAGGCAGUGGACGGACAUCAGAGGUGACAACACCUGACCACUGGAGGAUACACGGCCCCCCGACAGAAAUGCACAGGACCCUGCUCUCC